UACGGAGGGUGCAAGCGUUAUCCGGAUUCACUGGGUUUAAAGGGUGCGUAGGUGGGCAGGUAAGUCCGUGGUGAAAUCUCUGAGCUUAACUCAGAAACUGCCAUGGAUACUAUUUGUCUUGAAUACUGUGGAGGUAAGCGGAAUAUGUCAUGUAGCGGUGAAAUGCUUAGAUAUGACAUGGAACACCAAUUGCGAAGGCAGCUUACUACACAGCUAUUGACGCUGAGGCACGAAAGCGUGGGGAUCAAACAGG
rnacentral:rRNA from 1 species